rnacentral:rRNA from 1 species
UACGAAGGGGGCUAGCGUUGUUCGGAAUUACUGGGCGUAAAGCGCACGUAGGCGGAUACUUAAGUCAGGGGUGAAAUCCUGGAGCUCAACUCCAGAACUGCCUUUGAUACUGAGGAUCUUGAGUUCGGGAGAGGUGAGUGGAACUGCGAGUGUAGAGGUGAAAUUCGUAGAUAUUCGCAAGAACACCAGUGGCGAAGGCGGCUCACUGGCCCGAUACUGACGCUGAGGCACGAAAGCGUGGGGAGCAAACAGG